AGCAGCCGCGCUAGGCGGCAUGCCUCGCCGUGCCGCACGGUGGCCGAGACGCGGCUGCCCCAUGCUCUGCCAGCGCCGCUUUAUCGUCUUCAUCUACACGAGGCAUCUCUGCUAGACCACGCGGCCAUGCCUCCCCCAUCUACCAUGCUGGAUGGCCGCCUCCUGGAUAAGGUAUCGCGCUGCAUCAACCGUCCUCUGCUGCCGCCGCCGCUGCUGCCCAGGCUGAGGUGAGCACCAUGAAGAUGAGGAGGUCAGUGGCUGAUAUAGAGAGCUCCUCGAACAGGGAAGUAGCAGUUCUGGAGGAAAUGGAAGAUGUCAUGUUUCAGCUGUUUUCAGGAGAAAUGUUCGAUCAUUUUCAGAUGAUCAUCAUAUGGUCAGCGAGAUUCAAGGGAACACGCGACCCGAUUAUGCCUUCUAUAAGCAAAGCUGAGUUGUUGAGUUACAAGUGUCCUUUGGUUAAUGGAUGAUUCUCUUUCGCUCGCGGUAGCUUGCUCGAGGCAGACCUGCAAGCCCGAUGGAAAACUAACCGCGUACACCGUGUCGUGGCUUCGAGUUUCAGCGUCGACAUCACCUUUCUCUAACUGGCUUGCUUAGCCAUGGACAAGUCUUGAAAGGAGACAUUCGUGAUGAUUUCUCAGUGAGGCGAUGCACUUGGUGACAAACCGAAUUUACGGGGAGGAGCAGGCGGCGGGGCCAGAGAGAUACUUACCUGGACCCGGACCAUCGCGCGGGAGAGGG